AGUAUUGAUGCUCUCUUAGAUGAAUCAGAAUGUGAGGCGUUAUCUGCAAAUUCUCCUCUCUGCUGGAUACUGCUAAGAAAGGAGAAAAGAGGAUGGACAUGAGGGGAAGCCAACUGCUAUGCUUGAUUGAGGACACUCAAGCAGCCUAUAGACAGGCCCAUGUGGUGAAGAACUAUGACAACCAGAACUAACUUCCCAGCCAUGUGCAUGAACUAUUUUGGAAAUGGAUUCUGCAGCCCCUGUCUGGCCUUCAGAUGAUUUCUGGAAUAUGAGAGACCCUGAGCCAUGACCACUCAGCUAAGCUACCCCUGGAUUCCUGACCCACAGAAACUAUCUGAUUUGACUUGGAUUUCACUUACCAGUGAAAAAGACCAGUCUGAAAUGGACCAGAGAUGAGCAAUGGAGGGAGACAAAACUUCUGAUGGCAUACCAGUUCCUGCAUCCAGCUGUUCCUGAAACCCAGCCAGGUCCCGCCUUUAAUAAUAGCAGGGGCAGCAGCAACAACAAACAUUUACUGAAUGCCUAUAAUAAAUCCCACCUUUUGCUAAUUUAGCUCCUCUUACUCGCAACCGAGAAAGUCUUAAAGAGCCCAAUAUCCAUUGCAACAAUAUCUGGAAGGGGAGAGAAUGUGCUAAGGGAAUGUGCUAAGGGAACGAAAUUUAAAUCAAGGUUUACAAAAAGACACAAGUGGGAAAUCAUGCAAGACUGUAACUGAGUCAUGCAUAAAUUUUGCCUAGACCUUCUCUGUGCUUAGGGCCCCUUGUGCGGGGAGCACAGCCCCACAGGGAGGCGUUCAUGGAUCGGAUGCCAAACAGAUUCAGGCAGGGGGAACGGGCGAAG